rnacentral:misc_RNA from 1 species
GAUGAAGAACGUAGCGAAAUGCGAUACGUAAUGUGAAUUGCAGAUUUCAGUGAAUCAUCGAAUCUUUGAACGCACAUUGCGCCCGCUAGUAUUCUGGCGGGCAUGCCUGUUCGAGCGUCAUUUCAACCAUCAAGCCCCCGGCUUGCGUUGGAGCCCUGCGGCUGCCGCAGGCUCCCAAAUCCAGUGGCGGGCUCGUCGUCGUACCGAGUGCAGUAAACAUCCUCGCUCAGGGAACGUGACGGGUUCUUGCCGUGAAACCCCCCACAUAUCAAGGUUGACCUCGGAUCAGGUAGGAAUACCCGCUGAACUUAAGCAUAUCAAUAACGGAGGA